rnacentral:rRNA from 1 species
AGGGCACCACCAGGAGUGGAGCCUGCGGCUUAAUUUGACUCAACACGGGGAAACUCACCCGGCCCGGACACUGGAAGGAUUGACAGAUUGAGAGCUCUUUCUUGAUUCAGUGGGUGGUGGUGCAUGGCCGUUCUCAGUUGGUGGAGUGAUUUGUCUGGUUAAUUCCGAUAACGAACGAGACUCUAGCCUACUAAAUAGACCUCGGCAUUCUUUGUACUGUCGAGGCGCUUCUUAGAGGGACAGGCGGCGUUUCAGCCGCAUGAGAAAGAGCAAUAACAGGUCUAUGAUGCCCUUAGAUGUCCGGGGCCACACGCGCGCUACACUGAAGAGAUCAGCGUGCAUGUGCUUCCUACUCCGAAAGGAGCGGGAAACCGAGUGAACCUUUUUCGUGCUUGGGAUUGGGGAUUGUAAUUAUUCUCCAUGAACGAGGAAUUCCCAGUAAGCACAAGUCAUCAGCUUGUGUUGAUUACGUCCCUGCCCUUUGUACACACCGCCCGUCGCUACUACCGAUUGGAUGUU